AUGGGUAUGGUUUAAUUUAAUACCAUGCAUAAUUAAUAUAAUUUAAUUACAUAGGCAGGGAAUGAAAGUGUUCACUGGUUUGGGACAUUCAGUUUACCGUGUUUGGGAUGUCCUUAUUCAGAAAAUUUAGCAUUAUAAAGCAUGUCGUGGUCUAAGUGUGGCUCUGGCUGAUGAAAUUUAUGCUUAGUGGUCAGCAGCUCUAUACCCAAGGCAAAAAGAGUGCACAGCUUAUGAAGUUUUCCUUAAGUGCUGCAUUUAUCUGUACACAGGAAUUCUCCAGGCAGAAGAAAAUUCCUGUUCUCCAGAGCAAUACGACUUGGCCCUUCUCAACUACCACAUGAUGCUCUGGUAAUCCAGGCCUCUUUGCUAGCACCGUGACACCCUGCCAUGCCUUUCAAAGAGUCUGCAGAACUGUCAAUCCAGUUCAGCUUGCCUGGAGAGGACUGCUGGCUGCCUCAUCCGCCGCUGUCUCUGCUGAAUACACUCUCCUGAUCUUUUUGCCCUACUUUACAGCUGGCAUCUCCGAGCAGCUCUGCUGCUGCUGGUGCUCGUUGGGUCUGGCCACGGCGGGCUCAGAAGCAGCGUGAGGGGACGGGCUGGGACCUUCCUGAACAUCCAAAAAACUGCCCAGGCUCCUUUCUUUGGGGCUCUGAAGAAACACAUACACAUGUCAGAGGGUGUCACCUCUGCGUUUCACCGAGAGAGAUGUCAUUUGGAGCUGCCAAGCUUGUGCCAGGGACCUCUCCCUCCUCCUCCACCGCCUGGCAGCUGUGCCCCUGCCCCUCCCUGCUCCCCUGCACUGAGGAGUGGCAGGCGACUUCCCCACUGCUCUCUGAAGAAUAAGGUCACCAGAUAAGUUCAACAGCUUGUGCCUCUUUUUAAUGGAAACACCACAUAUUUAUA